AGUGAACGCUGGCGGUAGGCCUAACACAUGCAAGUCGAACGGCAGCACAGUAAGAGCUUGCUCUUACGGGUGGCGAGUGGCGGACGGGAGAGGAAUAUAUCGGAAUCUACUCUUUCGUGGGGGAUCACGUAGGGAAACUUACGCUCAUACCGCAUACGCCCUACGGGUGAAAGCAGGGGAUCUUCGGACCUUGCGCGAUUGAAUUAGCCGCUUUUGGAGUAGCUAGUUGGCGGGGUACAGGCCCACCAAGGCGACGAUCCGUAGCCUGUCUGAGAGGAUGAUCGGCCACACGGGAACUGGGACAGGGACCAGGCUCCUACGAGAGGCAGCAGUGGGGAAUGUGGGGCAAUAGGCGCAAGCCUGGUCCAGCGAUACCACGUGGGAGAAAGAGGCCUUCGGGUUGGAAAGCCCUUUUGUGGGGAAAGAAAAGCAGCAGGUUAAGACGCCGCGGGAGUGACGGUACCCAAAGAAGAAGCACCGGCUAACUACGUG
rnacentral:rRNA from 1 species